rnacentral:tRNA from 1 species
GCCUUCGUGGUGUAGUGGUCAGCACGCUCGACGCGUAACCGAGAGGUCCGUGGUUCCAUUCCCAUCGAAGGCG